GCUUGUCUCAAAGAUUAAGCCAUGCAUGUCUAAGUAUAAGCAAUUAUACCGUGAAACUGCGAAUGGCUCAUUAAAUCAGUUAUCGUUUAUUUGAUAGUACCUUACUACUUGGAUAACCGUGGUAAUUCUAGAGCUAAUACAUGCUGAAAACCCCAACUUCGGGAGGGGUGUAUUUAUUAGAUAAAAAACCAACGCCCUUCGGGGCUUCUUGGUGAUUCAUGAUAACUUCACGGAUCGCAUGGCCUUGCGCCGGCGACGGUUCAUUCAAAUUUCUGCCCUAUCAACUUUCGAUGGUAAGGUAUUGGCUUACCAUGGUUUCAACGGGUAACGGGGAAUUAGGGUUCGAUUCCGGAGAGGGAGCCUGAGAAACGGCUACCACAUCCAAGGAAGGCAGCAGG
rnacentral:rRNA from 1 species